rnacentral:rRNA from 1 species
AUUGAACGCUGGCGGCAUGCCUUACACAUGCAAGUCGAACGGCAGCACGGGAGCAAUCCUGGUGGCGAGUGGCGAACGGGUGAGUAAUAUAUCGGAACGUGCCCGGUCGUGGGGGAUAACGUAGCGAAAGCUACGCUAAUACCGCAUACGAUCUACGGAUGAAAGCGGGGGGAUCGCAAGACCUCGCGCGAUUGGAGCGGCCGAUAUCAGAUUAGGUAGUUGGUGAGGUAAAGGCUCACCAAGCCGACGAUCUGUAGCUGGUCUGAGAGGACGACCAGCCACACUGGGACUGAGACACGGCCCAGACUCCUACGGGAAGCAGCAGUGGGGAAUUUUGGACAAUGGGCGCAAGCCUGAUCCAGCAAUGCCGCGUGCAGGAUGAAGGCCUCGG